AAACCUUAUUAUAUUGUCAAUUUUUUUUAUUACGAAUUCAGUUAUAAUGCUAUCAAUAGCAAAAAAAAUAAUAUUUACUUUUAAUUUCUAGCUCAUAGAUCAAUAUUACUAUUGUUGGAGAAAUUCCGUAUUGAAAAAUUUGAUUGUGAUUAGACUCUAACUAUUUUUGUGAUGAAAAUUAAAAUUAUACUUACAAGUGAGCGCUUAAUUCCAAAAUAUUAUAGAAGUAGAAAUUCAAAAGUAAUUUGCUCCGGAAGCGUGCCCGAUAUUGUCUUAAAACGUAUUCUCGUUCUUCGUAUAGGAUUAAUCGGAAACACUGUCCCAAAGAUAUGACCGAAAUUUCUCCUCCUAUGUGCACGUACGCGAAAGAGGUUAACGAAGACACUUUCAACACUCUGAUGAUAAAAAAUCAAAACAAAAUAAAAUAGAAAUUCAAAUAAAAUUUUUUCCAUUUUACUUCUCUUUCUACAAUGUUCAUUUCUAUGAACAGUAGACAUUAGCCUAUAUAUUAGGGGUGUAAACGAGCCGAACACCAGCAGGCUCGUUAAAAUAUCGAGUCGAAAAAUUCAGCUCGUGUUCGGCUCGUUAAUAAAUGAGCCGAAUACGAGCUGGCUCAUGAGCUGGCCAACGAACAAUAAGUUAAAAAGGAUCAAAUUGAAUAUAUAUAAAAAAUAAAUUUAUAAAAUUUUAUUUAUUAGACUUUAAUCUAAUAGUUGAAACUUUACAUAUAAAUAAGUCUUUUUAUAAUUAAGCUUGCAUUUAUAUUUUUUUUUGCAAAAAAUUAAAUAAUAAAAAUAUAUAUUAUAUAUAAUUAUAUAUUUAUAUAUAAAAAUAUAAAUUAAAUAAAUUAUAUAACUAUAAAAAUAUAUGUAUUCGAGCUAUUAUCGAGCCGAACACGAGCGAGCUGACCCCAGCUCGUGUUCGGUUCGUUUAUUAAACGAGCCGAAAAAUUUGGCUCGUGUUCGGCUCGUUUACUAAACGAACGAUUCGAUCUUGAGCUCAUUUCGAGUCGAACACAAGCUGGCUCGCGAACAGCGAGCUGGAUUGCCACCCCUACUAUAUAUA
rnacentral:lncRNA from 1 species